rnacentral:rRNA from 1 species
GAUGAACGCUGGCGGUCUGCUUAACACAUGCAAGUCGAACGAACUCUUCGGAGUGAGUGGCGGACGGGUGAGUAACGCGUGAGAAUCUGCCUGUGGUCGGGACAACUACUGGAAACGUGCUAAUACCGGAUGAGCCGAAAGGUAAAAGAUUUAUUGCCCACAGAUGAGCUCGCGUCUGAUUAGCUAGUUGUAAGUAAAAGCGUACCAAGGCGACGAUCAGUAGCUGGUCUGAGAGGAUGAGCAGCCACACUGGACUGAGACACGGCCCAGACUCCUACGGGAGGCAGCAGUGGGAAUUUUCCGCAAUGGGCGAAAGCCUGACGGAGCAAGACCGCGUGGGGAGGAAGGUUUUUGGAUCGUAAACCCUUUGUC